GACGAACGCUGGCGGCGUGCCUAACACAUGCAAGUAGAACGCAGUUGCGAACGCGUGAGUAACGCGCAGGAUCCUCUUCCCUUCCGGGGGAUAACCACUGGAAACGAUAGCUAUUAUCGCAUAAUGUCAGCUGGACCUGCGUGUUAUUAGCUAGUUGGCGGGGUAAAGGCACACCAAGGCGACGAUACAUAGCCGGCCUGGGAAGGUGAACGGCCACACUGGGACUGAGACACGGCCCAGACUCCUACGGGAGGCAGCAGUGGGGAAUCUUCGGCAAUGGACGGAAGUCUGACCGAGCAACGCCGCGUGAGUGAUGAAGGUUUUCGGGUCGUAAAGCUCUGUUGUUAGGGAAGCGGUAACUGACCAGAAAGGGACGGCUAACUACGUGCCAGCAGCCGCGGUAAUAC
rnacentral:rRNA from 1 species